AGGGAUCGAUGUGACGAAAGGGAAGGCAUUCCUGCCAGAAAAAGAAGGACAUCGUGCAAAUAUCUUGAAAAAUGGGACAGUGAAUUUUCUUUUCUAAAGAGGAGCAAGAUGGGGCACAGUCACGCGUUUUGUAAGAUUUGUAACUUUAGUGUCUCACACGGGGGGGAGGAACGACAUCAGUCAGCAUGAAAAAUCGUCCAAGCACAAGCGCUGGCUAGAGGCACAGAAACAUGCCCAGGUGAUGUCAACAUUUGUGACUAGAAAUACCACCGAGGCCUACCAGGUCAUAAAUGUGGAGGUUAAAAUAUCCAAUGCUGUGUGCCAAAAACAAUGUUGCUUUCAACUUCUGUGAUGACUUCAAUAAAUGUGUAGCUGAAAUGUUCCCGGACUCUGCUGUCGCACGAAAAGUCUCGGCGGGUAAAACCAAGGCUACCAACUCACCAAAGGUGCCAUAGCAACAGAGCUAGAUGACGAGUUGACCAAAACAUGCUGAUCUCAGCCAUUUUCUGUGAUGUGCGACGAAUCGAACAACAGAAAAGCAUAUAAAGAAUUUGUCAUCCUAACUAGACUCUACGAUGAGGCCACUCUGCAGGUCGUAAGAUUCAUGGAGAUGUCUGUAUGCAACGUGGGAAAUGCAGAAAAUCUGUAUGAAAACCUGAGUGAAGCACUAAGAGAAAAAGAGACAUCCCAUGGGAGAACCUGAUAGCCUUUAACUCGGAUAAUGCGAGCGUCAUGAAAGGCAGACACAACUCUGUUAUCAGCAGACUGAAACAGAGCCAGCCCCACGUCCAGGACCUCGGCUGCAUCUGCCACCUGGCACAGCUGGCCACUGGCUGUGGCAUCAGAGCAGCCCAGGUACCGGUGGAAGACAUCCUGGUGGGGAUAUACACCCACUUUGAUAAAAGUGCAAAAAGAUGUGAACUCUACAAAGGGUUUGUAGAUUUCACUGAUGUAACCUGAAGCUCCUCAGGUACUGCAGCACCAGAUGGCUGAGUCUGCUAACCUGCAUCCAGAGAGUGUUGAACCAGUGGGAUGCACUACAGAUAGGGAUGGCCUACUUUAACAGUCAUGAGGAGGUGAAAAGGAGUGCCAAAGUGUGCGAUUUGGCAAGCCCUCUGCGUGAUCCAAUCGUGAAGGCUUACUUCAUGUUCCUGAGUGCUGCCCUUAAGCCUUUAUAUGAAUUUAAUAUUGUCUUCCAGUCAGAGGGAGUACAGAUUCACAGACUUGAAGAGGAGAUGUGCAGGCUGAUCAAGAGGAUCCUGGGGUUCCUCGUACCAGCCAGGGCCAUCGUGGGUGUACCUCUCAUGGAGGUGGAGUAUGGAGAAGGACAUCAGUCUUUAUAGGAGCAGAAACAAAGGGCAUUCAUGGCAAGGACGGAGCUCCCUGUAUCAGCUGAGAAGAAAAUCUUUCAGUGAGUAUAUUACCCAGCAGUUAUAUAAUUAUAUCAUCUUUUCACAGUAUGAGAUUAUAGGCUGUAGUGUUUUUUGUUUACUCUUAUGCUGUUGUAGAUCUGUGAGAAUAUUCUAUGAAGCAGUGCUUCAGAAGAUGUUCUCCUCCUUUCCUCUUGACCAUCCACUUCAUGAAAGUGCUGGACCCUGCUGCUCGCCUUGACAUUACUCCGGGGACAGGUAGAUGUUAGAGUCAGUUUCUCAUUGAUUAAAUGAAUAAAUGAAUAUUGCAUGGUUUAGAUCUGCAAUGUUCAGUCAAACACUUGUUUUACAUUACAGUGGCAAGGCUAGGGGCCCUUUUUCCCUCAGUUGAUCUUGAGUGAGGAUAGGCUGAGAGAGGAACUCAUUGACUACCAGGUGACAGAUAGCAAGGAUUUCCUACAAGAAGACAGAACUGACAGAUUCUGGGGACUGGUAGGGAAAGAUGUGAGGUUCAUUGAGCUGCCAAGAUUAAUGAAGGCUUUACUAUGCAUUCCCCACAGCAAUGCCAUUUCUGAAAGAGUGUUUAGUAUGGUAAGAAAGAUUGCUACAGAGAAGAGGAUGUCAUUAGACAACAACAACACUGUUUGUGCUUUACUGUCAUGCAACUCUGGCCCAGGCCACAAAUACACUCCAGCCAAACAAGUCUUAAAGGAUGCAAAGUCUGUAACAAAUCUGUAUAAUAAGUCUUUAGUAAAUGCCACAGAACCACCUGAGUGAACAUGAGAAAAUAAAACGUGUAAUGACAAUAACAUGUAAAUGUUUAACCUAAAGACAAGCAAUGUAUAUAUAAACUGAAAAUGUGUGAAAUAAAUAAAUGUGCUUGAAUCCCCUUUUGUGUUUCAUUUAGACUCUGUUAUAACAUAGGAAUGUCCACAGCAUUUCAGUGUCAACAAAGGUAAGCCUAUCAGAUUCUAAUUACCUUAUUGUAGUCUGUAAGUAGUUGACAAGAGGUUAUUUUCAAAUCCAAAACUUGACAGGUAUGCUCAGGGUGUGACCGGCAGAUGCUGCGGCACAGCUGUUGCUCAUCAGCGAACAAUCAACCUGGGCUCAAAAGGAGUGGAGAUCCAGAAGGAGGCGUCAGCUCGUUUUCUCACUUGCGUGGUAAACAGCUUGGCCUCUGCUGCUGCAGCCCUGUUUUCUACUUUUUCUCUGAUCAUCUUGUUUUUUCUCCUGUGCCUCUAGGAAAUGUUUCAACCAGAGUUUCUGUGGGCUUAACGUCUCCUGCCAUGUUCAUAUGAAUGUAGAAAGUCAAGCCUCAAAGGACUUUGACUGUAAGUCUCCUUUCUGCCUCCCUCCUGGACCCAGGCUUCUGAAAACAACUUUUUAUCAAACUUCUGAGAACCAUCCACCAUCGUUUCCCCAUGGGGCUCGCUGAAUGGAGUAAACCACAAGUCAGAAGAACGAGAAGAACCUUUCUCCGCUGCUGCACCCUCUUGUCAACCUCAACCAUCAUGUGAGAUCCCAAUCCUGUCCACUGACCCAGUCCGGAUUUCAGAACGAACUUACCUUUUGUAAAAAAAAAUAAACUGUUUAAACAGUG